AUUGAACGCUGGCAGCAUGCCUUACACAUGCAAGUCGAACGGUAACAGGUCUUCGGAUGCUGACGAGUGGCGCACGGGUGAGUAAUACAUCGGAACGUGCCCAGACGUGGGGGAUAACGAGGCGAAAGCUUUGCUAAUACCGCAUACGAUCUAAGGAUGAAAGCAGGGGACCGCAAGGCCUUGCGCGUUUGGAGCGGCCGAUGGCAGAUUAGGUAGUUGGUGGGAUAAAAGCUUACCAAGCCGACGAUCUGUAGCUGGUCUGAGAGGACGACCAGCCACACUGGGACUGAGACACGGCCCAGACUCCUACGGGAGGCAGCAGUGGGGAAUUUUGGACAAUGGGCGAAAGCCUGAUCCAGCAAUGCCGCGUGCAGGAUGAAGGCCUUCGGGUUGUAAACUGCUUUUGUACGGAACGAAAAGGCUCUGGCUAAUACCUGGGGCACAUGACGGUACCGUAAGAAUAAGCACCGGCUAACUACGUG
rnacentral:rRNA from 1 species